AACGCACAUUGCGCCCGCCAGUAUUCUGGCGGGCAUGCCUGUUCGAGCGUCAUUUCAACCAUCAAGCCCCGGGCUUGUGUUGGGGACCUGCGGCUGCCGCAGGCCCUGAAAACCAGUGGCGGGCUCGCUGUCACUCCGAGCGUAGUAGUUACAUCUCGCUCAGGGCGUGCUGCGGGUUCCGGCCGUUAAACCCCCCAUUUUACAAGGUUGACCUCGGAUCAGGUAGGAAGACCCGCUGAACUUAA
rnacentral:misc_RNA from 1 species